UACGAGGGGUGCAAGCGUUGCUCGGAAUUAUUGGGCGUAAAGGGUAGGUAGGUGGUCUUGUUUGUCUGAGGUGAAAGCCCGGGGCUUAACUCCGGAAGUGCCUCAGAAACGGCAAGACUCGAGUACUGGAGAGGGUCGUGGAAUUCCCGGUGUAGCGGUGAAAUGCGUAGAGAUCGGGAGGAACACCAGAGGCGAAAGCGCUCUGCUGGGCCGAAACUGACACUGAGAGACGAAAGCUAGGGGAGCGAAUGGG
rnacentral:rRNA from 1 species